UACGUAGGGGGCAAGCGUUGUCCGGAAUUACUGGGCGUAAAGGGUGCGCAGGCGGCUUGGUUAGUCAGAAGUGAAAGUUUGCAGCUUAACUGUAAAAGUGCUUUUGAUACUGCCUGGCUUGAGUCUCGGAGGGGUAAGCGGAAUUCCUAGUGUAGCGGUAAAAUGCGUAGAGAUUAGGAAGAACACCGGCGGCGAAGGCGGCUUACUGGACGAGUACUGACGCUCAUGCACGAAAGCGUGGGAAGCAAAC
rnacentral:rRNA from 1 species